UGCCCAGCAACACCUAUCCCUACCUCCUCGUGGUAUCGUCCGGAAACUACGAGUAACCAACCCCGGUGGGAACUUUGGUCGUAGGCUGACAGGGAAGG
rnacentral:ribozyme from 1 species